AUGACGCGGCUAGCAAAUUUGAGUUUAAUCCCGAAAUUUACAAUUGUCAAAGGUUCUAAGUGCCAAGUUUGUGUGCAAGCAAAGCAACCUCGCAAGUCUCAUACGACUGUUGAGGCGAGGAAUUUGGCACCACUUGAACUCAUACAUUCAGAUCUUUGCGAGAUGAAUGGUGUGUUGACAAAAGGUGGAAAAAGAUAUUUCAUAACUCUAAUCAAUGACUCUACUAGAUAUUGCAUGAUAUAUUUGUUGAAAACAAAAGAUGAGGCUUUGCACUACUUUAAAAUCUAUAAAGCCGAAGUAGAGAAUCAACUCGAUCGAAAAAUCAAAAGGCUUAGGUCGGAUCACGGUGGAGAGUAUUUUUCCAACGAAUUCAAUUUAUUUUGUGAGGAACAUGGUAUAAUACAUGAGAGGACGCCUCCCUAUUCCCCCCAGUCAAACGAGGUUGCCGAACAAAAGAACCAAACUCUAACUGAUUUGGUUAAUGCCAUGUUAGAUACAACGGAACUUUCCAAGGAAUGGUGGGGGGAGGCUUUGAUGACUGCAAGUCAUGUCAUAAAUAGAGUUCCCACAAAGAAUAAAGAGAUUACUCCAUUUGAAGAAUGGGAAAGGAAAAGGCUUAAACUUUCCUACUUACGGACUUGGGGUUGUUUGGCGAAGGUCAAUGAACCAAUUACUAAGAAGCGUAAGCUUGGGCCAAAAACAGUUAAUUGUGUUUUCCUGGGUUAUGCUUUCCAUAGCAUUGGCUAUAGAUUUCUAGUGGUGAAAUCUGAGGGACCUACUGUUCCAUUGGAACAUUCCGAGAAAAAACACACAGAUAUUCCUGAGGAGGAUGACAAUGAAGCUCCUAGAAGGAGCAAGAGACAAAGGACUGCAAAGUCAUUUGGUGAAGAUUUCAUUGUGUACCUCGUGAAUGAUACUCCGACUUCUAUUUUAGAAGCUUAUGCAUCUUCUGAUGCUGACUAUUGGAAAGAAGCUGUGCGUAGUGAGAUGGAUUCUAUCAUGGCUAACAGGACAUGGAAGAUCACUGAUCGUCCUUAUGGGUGUAAACCUGUAGGGUGUAAGUGGGUGUUUAAGAAAAAACUUAGGCCCGAUGGUACAAUUGAAAAGUACAAGGCACGGCUUGUAGCCAAGGGAUAUACCCAAAAAGAAGGUGAAGAUUUCUUUGAUACUUAUGCGCCCGUGGCCAGAUUGACCACCAUUCGAGUACUACUCUCAUUGGCUGCCUCACACAAUCUUCUCGUUCAUCAAAUGGACGUUAAGACAACUUUCCUAAAUGGAGAGUUGGAGGAGGAAAUUUACAUGGAACAACCUAAUUGUUUUGUAGUCAUUCAGGAAGUGAAAGAUUUUUUGAAUCAAAACUUUGAGAUGAAAGACCUUGGAGUAGCUGAUGUUAUCUUGAAAAUCAAACUUUUAAGAGGUGGUGAUGGUGGGAUCACUUUCUUGCAGUCUCACUAUGUGGAGAAGAUUCUGGGUCGCUUUGGAUAUUCAGAUUGCAAACCUUCUCCGACACCUUAUGAUCCGAGUGUUUUGAUUCGGAAGAACGAAGGAGAAACAAAAGAUCAAUUGAGAUAUUCUCAAAUCAUUGGCUCGCUUAUGUAUUUAGCUGGUGCUACGAGGCCUGACAUCUCAUUUUCUGUGAGUAAACUAAGCCGGUUUGUUUCAAACCCGGGAGAUGUUCAUUGGCAUGCACUUGAGAGAAUAAUGCGCUAUCUGAAAGGUACUGCGAGUUAUGGGCUUCACUAUACCGGGUAUCCAAGAGUACUUGAAGGUUAUAGUGAUGCAAAUUGGAUAUCUGAUGCUGAUGAACUUAAAGCGACAAGUGGUUAUGUGUUUACACUUGGUGGUGCUGCUGUUUCCUGGAAGUCUUGCAAGCAGGCCAUCUUAACAAGGUCAACAAUGGAAGCAGAACUCACAGCAUUAGACACGGCAACAGUUGAAGCAGAAUGGCUUCGAGAACUUUUGAUGGACGUGCCGGUUGUUGAAAAACCAAUACCAGCUAUUCUAAUGAACUGUGAUAAUCAAACAGUGAUCGUCAAGGUAAACAGUUCUAAGGAUAAUAAGAAGUCAUCAAGACACGUGAGAAGGAGACUGAAAUAUGUCAGGUUCAUGAGAAACUCUGGAGUUAUAGCGUUGGACUAUAUA
rnacentral:rRNA from 1 species